GGGGGCGAACUAGAUUCGACGGGAAUGCUGGGGGUAAGACAGCGAGCCGAGGUCCGUGCCUCGUUAAACAGCGGAACGUUUUAUUUGCCAACGACAACGGUUCCGAACUCGCCUUAGCCGCCUAACAGUGCGACUAACGUCUCCCGGGGCUCCGUGCCUACCGACCCUGGCAGCGUAAAACUGUAGGAUACCCUCGUGGUCCUCCCGUGCCACGGUGGGGAACCUUAGGGAUGGUUCACUGGAAUCCAGCUCCACGGGGCUCCAGGGAACGAGAACAAGCGUGGGGCUACGCUCGUAGCGGUUUUGCUUCACUGGUUCUCGGACGGGACGGGCAGUGCGUCCCCGCCUCCACCA
rnacentral:tmRNA from 1 species